UCCAGAGACGGUAUCUCGAGACAAUCCAGGUGACUAUGGACUUCUCCCCCACCAAGAGAUUAUUUCAAGACUGUUCAAGACUGCAGCUAAUUUACAACUGGGUUGAUCCUGAGAUGACACCAGCCCAUUCAUCAGAUGGGCAACAACUCAAGAUAAAUGAAGUUUCAGGGCAAAUGGUCACCUCUAAAUCUGGAAAGACAGGCAUACCCAGAGAGUCACAGCUGACAUCUGCUUAUGUGGAGCAAAUGCUGUUAAAGCUGUAAACUGGUCAGAAUAGCAAAAUGAUUCGAAUAAGCAAGAUAGCUUACUGGAGGACAGACGACCAUGCAGAGCAGAUACAAUAC
rnacentral:lncRNA from 1 species